GCGGGUGGAGAAAUAGUCCCAAUAUCAUAACAAUCUUAAAUAAAACUUCUAAAUAUGCCCGUGUGUGUACCCGUGUGCGCGCGCGCGUGUGUAUGUACAGUAUGUGCGUGAGUUUUUAAUUUAAAAUGUCUUAACUUAACUCGGAAGGAUCUGAAUCACAGGUCAUUUCAUCUGAGAUCAUUCCGCAUGUAACAGCCGGAAUCACUCACUGUUUCCCACAACGACACAAGUCAUCAGCCGUUUCCUCAAGGUCACGUCAGAGCGGUGAUGAUGAGAGGCAGACCACCACCAUACGCGAAGAUGAGCCUCGAGGCGUGACAGUUAUUUUUUCAAACUGAGGAGUUCGGACUCCGGACCGGCAUUUCUGCUUGUUUGUACCCUGAGAUAACCAUGGUUAAUAAAUGGUCAGACACGUCACUGGCUUAAAAAUAUAAACCCCAUUGAUGCAAAAAGAUGCUGCGUGGAAUGACAAUGUUGUUUGGAACAGACUUGGUGAAGAACAUGGAAACAUCUCUUAAUAAAAUGGCCCCAAACAUCAUCAGGAGUGCAAAAGAAGGAAGUAAAAACAUCUCUACGCCAAUCUCAUUGGAGAGGAAACCACAGAAGGUCUGGUGAGGAAUGCUGCACUUAUGUUAUUGCAAGCAUUAUUUCAAGAAAAUGCCAGCUUCCUUGACUGUGUAAAUAGUGAACCCAAAGGUCCCACACCAACCAUAGUGUUCAACGGCUCUCCUGAUCUUCUCAAAUCUGAAAGUAUCAACUUUAUAAUGGACAAUGUGAACUUAAUAUGUGGAAGACAUUGACAUCACAGGCUGUGGAAUGAUGUGUCACAGGUCGGAGAAGCGGACCGCCCCUGUCGCGGAUCACGCUCCUCCUAGUUCCACCUCGAGGAGGUCCCAAAGCACCCCAAUGACCAGACAAACCAGAGAUAAGUAAAAUAUAGAAAUAAAAACUUUAUUUAAAUUAUUUAAAACUAAAGUGGGGAAUGGGAAAGGGAAUCUAAAAAUCUCGCUUCUCGCCCUCAGGGGGAGUAUUACGGGGCCAGGGACGUUGGAGGGGUUUCCACGUGACUCCAGCUGGAACACCGCUACAGAGCGUAUCUGGGUGGGUUGGGCACACACCGUCGCGGCGGCCCCUGAUGGCAUCCACAAAGGUCCAAGACCCUCCUAAGCUCCUAGCCAUAGCAGAACUACGUAUUUCAGCACCCGAAGGACUAACAACCCAGCCGGCAUCUGCAGCGUAUAUCCAACGCGAUCAAACUUCACUCUGACAAGUAACUUCCUAUACACAACCACGCCGUCCUUUCGCCCGGACCAGCCCCGCACUCUUUCCGCCCGCUACCUAGCGGUCGCCGGAUCAGCAGAGCCUGCAGACUCUUCGGAGGCUGGUCUUCGUUGUGCUGCCCAAGGCGGAAGUUGACUCGAAAAUCGACCCUUCCAGUAACUUCUACCUUCUCUCUUUAUAUCCUCCUCCAUGGCGUGGCUCGCCCAACCAUCGCUCGCCACGUCACUCACACAGCUGUGCCUUGUUUCAGCGAGUGCGGGGAUUCCCGGGGAACCCGGAAGUGCCGGUGUCUGUACAAACGGUCCGGGCGGAACCUCUUCACUCUCCUUUUGGUUCCGCCCCGCAUAGUCACUCCGUGACAACUGUUUGCGUUUUUUUUUCUCCUCAAUGUUCAAUACCCUUUUGCCAUUAAGCACACAGUGACUUUAAUUUAUAAAAUAUAUGCUUAAGUUUUAAUACCUGUACAAAACAAAUGUAAAAUCAACUUGUGUAAAUUGUCAUUCUAUUUAAUAGAUUGUUCAUGAAUUGUCUUUAAAUGCAUUGUGAUUUCGGUAACACUUUACAAUAAAGUUCAUUAGUUAACAUUAGUUAAUGUAUUAACUAACUUGAACAAACCAUAAGCAAUACAUUUGUUACAGUAUUUAUUCAUCUUUGUUAAUGUUAGUUAAUAAAAAUUUAAGCUUUAAUUGCUUGUUCAUGUUAGUUCAGAGUGCAUUAACUAAUGUUAACAAGAUUUUAAUAAAGUAAUUGUUGAAAUUAACAUUAACAAAGAUUAAUAAAGGCUGUUCAUUAUUAGUUCAUGUUAACUAAUGUAGCUAACUAAUGUUAACUAAUGAACCUUAUUUUAAAGUGUUACCGUGAUUUAUUUUCAUCAUUUCAGACACAUGUAAAAGUUACUAAAAAUAAGUACUGCAUAUACUGUACAGUAUCUAUGCGUAAGGGAAAUAACUUGAACAAAAUUUUUAAUGUAUAGUGUAAUUAAGAGUUUAGCUGUUUAAUACAGAGAUGCAAUUUAUUUAUAUAUAUUAUUUAUAUAUAAACGUAUGUAUGUUUAUUAAAAAGUGAAAAUGCUUAAUGGAAAUAAUUAAAUAACUAAAUGGUUGAAUGUAAUGAGACAUUUUAAAUGUAAACUAAAGUUUUGCUGUCUAAUACAGAAUAAAGAGAUGUGAUUUUAAGUAA